ensembl:snRNA LOC120100454 U2 spliceosomal RNA
AUCGCUUCUCGGCCUUUUGGCUAAGAUCAAGUGUAGUAUCUAAAAGCUUCUCUGCAGGUCUGUGUGAAACAUGCCCUGGGUUUCUUUUUGCUGUAGAUCCAGACCUGUUCUCUUCACUUGUACCCUUCUCUGAAAGAAAAAAAAAUCUA